rnacentral:lncRNA from 1 species
CGACAACCACCCGACCAUAGUGCAGACAACAGCCGAAGGCAACCAAUGGGUCUUCAAUGUAGCGAAAAUUCCCGCACCCGUAGGUGUCCUUCAGCUGCUGCUGGCCCCUAAAAAUAUGCAUAAUAGUGCAGUGAUAAUGGACGUCAUACUAAACUCCGAAUUAUACACAAGAAACUAAAAUUUAAAAUCAUACAAGACUAACAAAGGC